ACAAAAAACCGUGCGUGCGUGUGUAUAUAUAUUGUUAAGAAGGCAAUGCACCCAUGGUAUAUUUUAAAAGUCCUAAAUGUCUUUUUUGUAUGCAAGAGGUGGGAGAUGUUGAAGUUACAAAUGACAUGUCUAAGUAGACAUAUGGCCAAUACAUACACACUCUGCUUACAUCAGUAACUGAAAGAAUUGCUAACGAACAAAUCACUGCUGUCUACUGUCCAUAAAUGAAAGUUGAAUAAAAAUUAAUGUGGCUUUGGACAGAGGCUGAACUGUAAACAUGUUAGGCCUAUGUGAGAGGAACAUGCACCAUGCACAAACACUACAGUAAAACUCUCACUUCUUUCCCUACUGUACAGAUGCACACACCCCCUCAUGAAAAUUAACAUUUUUUGUUGUUGUAAAAGUGUAGUAUUCUCUUUUUUUGGUAUAUUGAUUACUAUUAGCAAAACUACACUAACCAUGGUUUAACUACAGUAACCAUGGUUGAGUUUUGUAAAGGCACACACAUGCGAGAUAUCCCUCACUAUAGACAUAGUGACUUAAACACUGUACUGUACCCAGUCAACAUGUGAGAUCACGCGAUAAUCACAGUAAAAUCACAUCAUUUUCAUACUGUGACAUUCUCAUCUUGUGAGUUAUGUGCAAGCUCUUUGUGAAUUCAAAAUGUUGAGUUCAGUGCACAAUGAGUGUGCCAUGACCUCACAUUGACCAUAGUAUGGCAACAGCAAGUGUGUCGUAAUAUGAUUUGAGCGGACACUGAGUGUGCUGUGACCUCACCUCAGGGCCAUAGUAUGAGCGCACAGUGAGUGUGCAGUAACCUCAAAUUGUGACAAUAGCCUGAGUGACCUCACAUUGUUGCACUCACAGUACACUGACCUCUCUUCCGAGGUGCAUAAAUUCAAAAUAUGUAUUCGGAGUGUUAUGUGUGUUGCUUGUCAUUUCAAAAUAUGUGUACAUUGCAUCAUGUGAACCAUGUGCAUCACGUGUCUUGACAAAAUACAUGCCUGCUGCACACGCAUCAAAAGUUUUUAUGAUACAAGAGAAGCUCACGUUCACAAAAUACUCACAAGAUACUAACUUAACAGUAAACUCUGAUUACACAUGAGAUUAAGUGAGUAUCUGACAAAUGCGAGUGUCUUUUAUUAUAAACCCCUUCAAAGCAUCUGCAGCAGGCUUGUAUUUUGACAUCCCGCGUGAUGCACACAAGUUUACAUGACGCGCCAAACACAUAUUUUGAAAUGACGAGCCACACACAUGACGGCUGCAUACAUGUGACAAACUUUGCAUUUUGCGCCCUCAAAAAAAGAAGUCACUGGCCGCAACUACUAUGUUAUGUUCACAAUGUGAGAUCAUGACACACUCACUGUGAGCAGGCACAAUUUACAAAGUACCAUCAAGAUGUUGCUCAGAGAGCUAAUAUGCUAGCAUUUGCUAUUUGAAAAACAGGUCACUGAGAUGUCAACAUUUAUUUGCAAAUCAUACAGUGAACCCUUAACAAGUCAUGAACACACACAUGCACAGAGCAAGUAUCACUGCAUCACCCAAACACUGCAAUCACUUCCUUCCAGCUGUGGAAAUCAAACCAACAUCCUCUGGGUUGCAAACAAGUCUGAUUCUCUAACCACUAGGCCACAAUGCUUAAACACAUAUCUGUCAAUCCUGGUCACUUUUACUUAAAAUCUGUGCUUUCUAGAAUCUUUAUUUGUAGGCUUCUUGAUGCCAUAACCUUGUUGUUGACAUUUUAUAUGGUAUAUACACGCCAUGCACAGGGCUGUAUAAAAUGCUGUGUAGAAAGUGUCCUAAAUUUUGAGCCUAUGAUCAUUCCUAUAUUUCUUAAAAUUACAGGUAAGAAGGGUGACUUUCUACUCUUGGACCUACGUUUUCCAGACAUAUGUGUGUUGUCCUGCUAUGACAAAGUGAGUGUGCCGUGACCUUACAUUAUUAUGACCAUGGAAUGAGAGCACAGUUGGACCAUGAACUCACAUCGUGACCAAUGUGAGGUCACUCAUACUAUUGUUACAAUGUACACUAACUUUGUGGCCUAGUGGUUAUAGCGAGUCAGACUUUGUAACUCAGAGAUUAUUUGUUCAAUCCCACAGCUAAGUUAUUGAAGUGUUGGGGUGUUGCAGUGAUAGUUGCCCUGUGUGGGAUGUGCAUAUCUGUGUGUGUGGUUUUUGUGUGUUCAUGACUUGCAGUGGAUGGGUUCAUGCAGAGAGAAAUUCAUGUCUUUUUUACUUUUUCUUUUAUUUUGCCCGAUAUCAGUUGCAAUUAAAUAGUGACAUGUUUCCAAUAGCAAAAGCUAGCAUAUUAGCUCUCUGAGCACCCUGCUGAAAAAAACAGCAUCAAACCAGCAUGGACCAGCAUGGGAAUUAUGCUGGUCUAUGCCAGGUUUAGCUGGUGGUCACCAGCAUACCAGCACCAAAACACAAUAUAUGCUGGUCAUGCUGGAAUGACCAGCAUGGGAUGCUGGUGCUAAUGCUGGUUUGGUGCUGGUUUAGCUGGUGCUAAUGCUGGUGCUGAUGCUGGUUUAGCUGGUGCUAAUGCUGGUGCUGAUGCUGGUUUAGCUGGUGUUCACCAGCAAACCAGCACCAAAACAUGCCGGUACUUGCAUAUGGUGGGCUUUAUGGGGUAGUACAGUGAGUGUGAAGUGAUCUCAUAUUGUGACCUUCAUAUGAGCACACAUUGAGUGUGCAGCGUGCUUACACAUUAAAAUCAUGACCCACACAGUGAGUAUCUUGUGAGCUCAUGGUGACUUCCCUUACGAAAAUUAACCAUGGUUUUACUACAGUUAACUUAAAACCAAAAAAGCAUGGUUACUGUAGUAAAACCAUGGUAACCACAAAAUAACCAUGGUUUUGACAACCAUGUUUUUCUAAAACCACAGAACCAUGGUUAGUGUAGCCGUUUAGUGUAGUAAAACCAUGGUCAAAGACCCGAGGUGAGGUAUACAUUAAAGGGUUAACCUGAAGUAGUAAAACCAAAAGAAAGUCAGCAUCUCUUUAGUGUCCUCACUAAUAUAAGAAAUUACUAGUUUGUCUUCCACCCAGUGCAAGCUUUUUACAUGAACCCCCAAACCCCACCCAGAAAAACACAGCACAACUUAUUAAAGUUUAUUUAAUUUAUUUUAAUGUUUGAUUGUUCUGUGAAAUACAGUGGUAAUUAAGUGCUAAAAAUCUACAAGAAUUGAAUUUGUUUCACUUUUUUUUUUUUUUUUGUUGCGCCACUGGGUCAAUACAACGUAGUACGCAUGUGUCUGCAGGAAGAGCCGCUUGUGCGAGUGCUCCAUACUCCAAUCCAGUAGGUGGCGGUAAAUGCACCUUAAGUUGGUUUGCCACCCACCAUUUAAACAACAAAAGAAGAAGAAGAAGAAGAAGAAGCCGCUUGUGCGCAUGUGUCUGCAUCCAAAGGUUACCACGACAAGUUUGCGACUGAGUAAAUACAGAUACUACAGUUCGUGAUCUGGAGCUUGACUUCACAUGUUUUGUGGUGAUUAAAGGCGGAGUCCAUGAUGUUUGAAAGCCAAUGUUGAUAUUUGAAAUCACCUAAACAAACACGCCCCUACCCCAAUAGAAUCUGGACCUUCUGUUGAUAGACCCGCCACACACAUAUGCAACCCGGCAAGGAUGUCGGUUAGUAGACACGCUCCUUACUGCUGAUUGGCUAUAAGUGUGUUUUGGUAGUCGGCCCGUCUCCUUUUCCAAAGCGUUUUUCAAACAUCGUGGACUCCGCCUUUAACAAAUUGUGCGGUGCUUUUGGCAUUGUCUAUCCAUGUAUAAUUGUGAUGUUCCAGGAGUGCUAAUGGAAGCUACACAGUAUGUAGAUGUUUGUUCCAGUAUGUUUAUGUGUGUGUACCUGGUAAUUAUCACGUUGUGGGGACCGAAUGUCCCCACAAAGAUAGGAAUACCAGUAAAUUUUGACCUCGUGGGGACAUUUGUGAGGUCCCCAUGAGGAACCAAGCUUAUAAAUCAAACGGAAUGAUGUUUCUUGAAAUUCUAAGGUCGCAGAAAGUUUUCUGUGAUUUUUGGGGUAAGGGUUUGGGGAAGGGAAUAGAAUAUACAGUUUGUACAGUAUAAAAUGCAUUACGUUUAUGGAAUGUCCCCACAAAACAUGGAAACCAGAAUGUGUGUGUGCGUGCCAUGGAACAAAUAUUUAUUUUAUACCUUUUUGUGUGUUCUGUUUUUGACUUUUUUCCCCUGAUAUCAAGACACCAAAAUAAUGUUUUAAUACGCAUUUUCAUGUGUUUGUAAAGAAAAUAAAUGGUGUACUUCACUGUU